UAGAACGACUCUCGGCAACGGAUAUCUCAGCUCUCGCAUCGAUGAAGAACGUAGCGAAAUGCGAUACGUGGUGUGAAUUGCAGAAUCCCGUGAACCAUCGAGUUUUUGAACGCAAGUUGCGCCCGAAGCCUUCAGGUUGAGGGCACGUCUGCCUGGG
rnacentral:rRNA from 1 species